rnacentral:tRNA from 1 species
AAUGAAGUGUCUGAUUAAAAGAAUUAUUUUGAUAGAAUAAAAAAUGUGAAAAUUUCACCUUCAUUA